UCAAAGUUCAUUCAGUUUCAAAGAUUGGCUGAUGUUGGUUGCUGUGAUUUUUCCUACUCUUUUUUUUUUUAAUCUGUAGACAGUAGAUUUUAACUGAUGAGACAUUUUCUGGUGUUUUUUGCUUGCUUCAAUUAUUUGCACAAUCUAUAUAUGUUGGUCAUGAACACUUUAGGAUGUUGUAGGCAAUCUGAUAAAGUUUAGUGAAAGACUCAAGAGUUCAUCAUAUUUUGUUUGAAAAUUUUUAGUGGAUACCUCUAAUCUCAAUUUGUCCAGCUCAUCUGCAUAUGUUGAUCAAAUUUCUAUCCAGCCAUUCUUCUUCCUUUGCGUGUCUAAUUUCUAGGCUACAUGAGUUGAAGACCUCAAAUCCCUAGUGACUUGGCCAUAUUAACAUAUUGUGUGGUGUUCUGUAUCCAAGUUGAGGAAAACUGGCAUCUCGGCAUCUGAUAGAAUGGCCUCUGAUCUCAAACCAGAGUUAUCCAAGGAAGCAUUUGUUUGGUCUGAAGGUCUGGGAAUGGGAAAUUCCUGUAUCAGUAGCAGGAGGUCGUGUGCAUUCCGUUUCUUAACAUCAAAGAGAAGUGUGGGUUUAGGGUUGUGGUGAGAAUGGAAGGCUUGGGUUAGGAAGCUCCUGUGAUGAACCUGAACCAAUUUUGCCGGACUCUGUAGAGGGUUGUGAUGAACAUGACACAAUGAUUGUAAUUGCAUCCUUUCUGUGGUUUGGCUUCAGUUUCUAUCCCAUGGCUUUCAUGCUUCUGUAUAUUGCCUUUAGUUUCAUUCAUCAAUCAUAAUAUGAAUACUCCAGCCAAGAGAAAGAAACAAAUAUAUAGGUGAUGCUCUGUUGCACCAAUUCAAGAGAAUGAAUUGCAAGAAUUGAAGAGGGAUGGUUUCUACUAAAUAUUGGACUAAUGUAGAGAUUGGCAUUUAUCUUCUUUUCCUUUGUCAUGGUGGAUUAAUGAAUGUAUAUUAAUUUUGUCUGA